AGUGAACGCUGGCGGUAGGCCUAACACAUGCAAGUCGAACGGCAGCACAGUAAGAGCUUGCUCUUACGGGUGGCGAGUGGCGGACGGGUGAGGAAUACAUCGGAAUCUACUUUUUCGUGGGGGAUAACGUAGGGAAACUUACGCUAAUACCGCAUACGACCUACGGGUGAAAGCAGGGGAUCUUCGGACCUUGCGCGAUUGAAUGAGCCGAUGUCGGAUUAGCUAGUUGGCGGGGUAAAGGCCCACCAAGGCGACGAUCCGUAGCUGGUCUGAGAGGAUGAUCAGCCACACUGGAACUGAGACACGGUCCAGACUCCUACGGGAGGCAGCCGUGGGGAAUAUUGGACAAUGGGCGCAAGCCUGAUCCAGCCAUACCGCGUGGGUGAAGAAGGCCUUCGGGUUGUAAAGCCCUUUCGUUGGGAAAGAAAAGCAGCAGGUUAAUACCCCGCUGUUCUGACGGUACCCAAAGAAUAAGCACCGGCUAACUUCGUG
rnacentral:rRNA from 1 species